rnacentral:tRNA from 1 species
UGGUAAUUAGUUUAACGAAAACAAGUGAUUUCGACUCAUUAGAUUAUGAUUAUUUUCAUAAUUACCAA